rnacentral:rRNA from 1 species
AUGGAGAACAAGCCAAGCGAGCAUCUCAAUAACAUAUUCACAAUAACACCCACAAAUGGAUCUGGAUAUCUUGACAAUGAUACGAUAAAGCAGACCAUAAUUGCACAAGAAGCUACAUUCCGGGAACAGGUCAUAGAACUUCAUCGCGUGUACAACGUUCAAAAGAACCUAAUGGAAUUAGAAUGCCAAAGAGGUGAAUUAAGUAAGCAUUCUCAAGAGAAAAUGUAUUCAUCACCAUAUGGGCGUAUAAGAACAGUCAGGCAAGUUGAGCCUCCUGCUGGACAUGAUAUGAAGAAACCAUCCAAAAAAUUCAUGAAGGGAAAAGAUUUAGUGUGUAGUUCAAACGGAGUUUCUAUGAGGCAUAGCAGUAGUAGGCCCACACAAGAAAAACUGGCCUUUCAGGUUUCAGAUGAUGCACAUGCCAAUAAUACUGAUGAUGAUGUGGUGAUACUAUCGGAGAAGCCUGCAAAUAGUUCAGUAAGAAAUAAAAGUUCAUCUCCUGGUACAAAUGUGAAGGACCUUCAGGUUCCAGCUGAUGCACAUGACGAUGACAAUGAUGAUGAUGAUGUGGUGAUACUAUUAGAGAAGCCUACAGAUAGGUGGCCAAUAACUAAUGGUUCAAUUCUUGGUACAAAUGCGAAGGACCUUCAGGUUCAAGCUGAUGCACAUGCAAAUGAUAGUGAUGAUGAUGUAGUAAUAUUGUCAGAGAAGCAUGCAAAAAGUUUGCCAAGAAAGCAUGGUUCAAUUCUUGGUACAAAUUUGAAGAACAUUCUGGUUCCAAUCAGUGCACAUGUUUAUGAUUGUGAUGAUGAUGUGGUGAUACUAUUAGAGAAGUCUGCAAACAAUUUGCCAAGAAAUAAUGGUUCAAUUCUUGGUAUAAAUGUGAAGCUUAACAGUGAGGGCUCCUCACGCGUGAAUAAGGAGUGGACCAAUAGUUUACAACCAUCAGAUGUAUCAACAACGAAUGUUUUGAACAAAGAAGUUGUAGGGCCAUCUAGUAAUAUGGAAACAACAAACUUCCCAAGUGUGGGAAGUUCAAGUUCUCAGAACCAGGUCUAUUCAUUCGCAGGAGUGACCCUGAACCUCCCAGAUGUGAAGCUUGAAAUUGAGCCAUCCUCGCAUGUGAAAAAGAACCAUGUUAGUGGUUUACAACAAUCACAUGUCUCAACAUUGAAUGCUUUCAAUACAAAAGUGGUAGGGUCAUCUAGUACUAUGAAAAUAGAAGACUUCCCAAGUGUGGGUGCCUCCAGUUCCCAAAACCAGUGUUAUUCAUCGCUAGGAUUGGACCUGAACCUCCCAAGCUUAGAAGAUACCUUGAAUGGAAAGCAUGUGGGUGCAGCCAUUGAUUCAAACUUCUUGGUUGCAAAUGAGGAAACACAACAUAACAAUUCAUACAUCCACAAAAAAUAUGAUCGAAGCAAUGUCAUGGAAUGCUUCACACAUGAGAAAAAAAGUGUUGAUUCCUCAACCACAAAUGAUAUGUCCAGUUGUAGCAUCCGCAAUCCAAAAACAUUUGUAGCAUCCAGCUCCAAUGCUACAUCCAAAUCUCUACGGAAAAGCAACACUAAAGAUUACAAGAAUGGUUGCCUUCCAACAUUACAAGAAUAUUGCCGCCUUCCAACACCAAAGACUACACAACCUGGAGGGGGUCAAUAUCAAAAGCAAUCCCGGUUCUAUAAUUGUGUAGAGGACAUGAAUCUGAGCAAUGGUCCUCGAGAUGCAACUGCCACUCCGGGAGAAGCAAGAGAGGAUACCCCAAUGGAAAUCUCGUGGGUCAAAAAGAAGUUGCUAAACAUGAGGAAGGGAAUCUCCAUGAAAAAGUCACAAGUGCCAUCAAAUUAUGCAACUGGGCAUUCCCAUAUUUUGCCUAGUUCCAUGGCUUACUCAGAAGGUAGUUCAAAAAUUCUUGGUUACCCUAUUAAUACAACCACUGAGAAAGAUCCUCAACUCUCAUGCAUUAUGCACAAGGGCACAGACGACAUGUCCUCGAGUAAGGGUGUAGCUAACAUGGAAAUGCAAUUCCAUAAAAAGGAUGACACCAAUGCCAGGAAUCCCAUUGACCUGAAUGUUGCACUACCAUUCAUGGAUGAAAUGGAGAUAGAUGCCCACGCGCCAGAAAGCAACACUAUUCCUCAAGAACCAGAUGAUUCUUCUAAUGAAGAUCAUGUUGUGACUGCUGCGAAGAAUCUUAUGGCCAUGCAUAAGGUUGAGUUCCAAGCAGGAUUACCUGGAGGUAAUAACAAUGAUGAUGACUCUGAAGCUAUUGAACAACAUCUGUUUAAAACCAAACACCACAUUAGCAGCUCAACUCUAUUAUCCAAAGAGAAUAAGAGGAGCAAAGACCAUGGUGUUGCUUCAGCUUCAACCUCGAAUGUCCAAUUCAAGCGCAUCAACACCUCCAGAAGGACGUUAUGCCAGGUACCCAGGAUUCUAGAUGAUGCCUACCAUAGGUCAAAGAGAAAUUAA